UCAGAAGAACUAUCUUCAAGGCACAUCUGGUAAUGUAGUGGAAAAACCUGCCUUGGGUUUCCAUGCCCCAAGGAAAUGGAUUUCUCUUUGGGAGAAAAAAACAAUUUAUUGCUCCCAGAAAAUUGCCCUGUCUCCAUAAAACAAAGCCAAGUGUUUGCAGACUCAGAACAUGACUUAGAAGACUCGAUUUCAAACCAAUGACACCACAAUUUAAUAAUCAUAUGUGACCAUGGACAAGUCACUUUAUACCUCUGGUCAUCAGUUUCCUCAUUUUUCAAAAUGGAGAUAAUAUGAUUUUUACUCUUUACCUCCGAGGUUUGUUCCCACCUUUGACAAAGGCCACAAUUACCCAAGGGUCACAAGGUGAAAUGGGAUAUCCGAUGAAGAUCAUGGACCAAAGAGGAAAAGAAUGAGAUUAUCCAAUCAGAUUGUCUGACUUCACACUUUAAAGACUCCUGGGAAAGACUGACAUCAAUCACUUAACUCAAUGGUCUGGAAGAAUCAUCCUGUACUUAUAUUGUUGUUAUCCAGGGAGUUACAGCCUAAGAAGGGAGGAGGGAAAGGGAUUUCUUUCACCUCCACCUCUCUGGCAGCAUGUACAUAUGGAUGCAAGUACAAAUGCUUACUGCAUAGGUGAGCCUGAGAUGGGACCUCAAGUCUCCAGCUUUUGUCAUCCAACUAUAUUAUCCCAUACCCCUCAUCUUUCCAUCUUCUUCGCAAGAAAUUCAUGAGAUACUGUAUUGACAGCUCAGCUGAAAUCUAAGUAAAAUAUAACCAUAGCAUUCUGCUCAUCUACUACUUUAUAAUUCCACCCAAAAAAAGACAUUUGUUUACUCUAACAUAACUGAGAAUGGGCAAGAAAGACUACUGAGAGAUUUAUGCUGUGUGAUAACCUGUACUCAGGAAAAGGAAUACAAAUUAAAAGAAUUCCGGUGGGGAAAAUCACAUGUAAAUAAUUAAGUUGGUACAAGACACAUCCAGGGUAGACAGCAGAUGAUCUCAGAUGCAAGACAUUAACAGUGCUGAGGACCAGAAAAGCCUUCUGAAGAAGGUGAAAUUUUAGCUUGAAUCUUGAAAGAAGUCAGGAAGCCAGAAGAUGGAAGUGAGGAGAGUACUGCAGGCAGAGGGAGCGUCAGAUACAGCUUAUUUAAGACCUUUUUCCUGGGUCUCCCAACUGGGAACACAACAAGGCAGAACUUAUGAGGAAACUGAACAGAAGCCCUGCAAGUCCAGAACUGCAGCUUUUUAUGGAUGGGAGGAGCUCCCUGGCCUACAGUUGACACAUAUAUAACAAGUUAUACCUAUGUGCAGGUGCAUACAUGUUGUUCCUUCUUCUACAAUGUGUCCUCUAAAUUGAAACAGUGACAAAAGGAUCAUCUCUCAACUUUCCGAAGUUUAUCUGUCUCCAAAUUGUUUUCUUCACAAAGAUGAUGCAAAGGCAAUGGAGCAGAAGACCUGCUAUUUCUCCAUUUCCUGGCACUGUGCCUUUCUUCCAUCCCAGAAGCCUCCCCCUCCUCCACCAGGUCCAGACUGAUAAAAAACCAAGUCUAAGAGCAGAGUCCACAGGCUAAGGGCAUUUCUUUAUUUGAUACGAAUUUGACUCCACAGUGACAUUCACCUUAAUUGCUGUCUUUGGGGUAAUCCAGAGAACUCUUGCACCUAACCGCCUUCAGGUCAUUCUGAUUCCCAGAGACUAUGUAUCUCCAGAGGGAAACAUUGCUCCUUUCAGACUUUCUCAUAAGGACUGAACUCUGGAUAAGGGGGGGAAAAAAUCAUACUGAGUGAUAAAUUUUGGUGCUUGUCCCAAAUAAAAUAUUUGUUUCUCUUGUGUGUAA